rnacentral:rRNA from 1 species
AGAGUUUGAUCAUGGCUCAGGAUGAACGCUAGCGACAGGCCUAACACAUGCAAGUCGAGGGGCAUCGGGACGUAGCAAUACGUUGCCGGCGACCGGCGGAUGGGUGAGUAACGCGUAUGCAACCUACCCGUAGCAGGGGGAUAGCCCGUUGAAAGACGGAUUAAUACCCCGUAACACAGGGGCUCCGCAUGGAGAUUAUUGUUAAAGGGUCAUUUCUUUUUCAGGGAUGGUCCGGCUGCGGAUGGGCAUGCGUUCCAUUAGGUAGUUGGUGUAGGUAACUGCUCACCAAGCCGACGAUGGAUAGGGGAACUGAGAGGUUGGUCCCCCACACUGGUACUGAGACACGGACCAGACUCCUACGGGAGGCAGCAGUGAGGAAUUUUGGUCAAUGGACGCAAGUCUGAACCAGCCAUGUCGCGUGAAGGAGGACGGCCCUAAGGGUUGUAAACUUCUUUUGCAGUGGAAUAAAGUUUGCCACGUGUUGGCGAUUUGCAAGUACGCUGCGAAUAAGGAUCGGCUAACUCCGUGCCAGCAGCCGCGGUAAUACGGAGGAUCCAGGCGUUAUCCGGAUUUAUUGGGUUUAAAGGGUGCGCAGGCGGGGAAUUAGGUCGGCGGUGAAAUUUCGGGGCUCAACCUCGACAGUGCCGUUGAAACCGUUUCUCUUGAGUGCGGAUGAGGUAGGCGGAAUUUGUGGUGUAGCGGUGAAAUGCGUAGAUAUCACAAGGAACACCGAUUGCGGAGGCAGCUUACUAAACCGUUACUGACGCUCAUGCACGAAGGCGUGGGGAUCAAACAGGAUUAGAUACCCUGGUAGUCCACGCAGUAAACGAUGAUUACUUGCUGUUUGCGAUACACAGUAAGCGGCGUAGCGAAAGCGUUAAGUAAUCCACCUGGGGAGUACGUUCGCAAGAAUGAAACUCAAAGGAAUUGACGGGGGCCCGCACAAGCGGAGGAACAUGUNGUUUAAUUCGAUGAUACGCGAGGAACCUUACCCGGGCUUGAAUGCAUUCGACGGGUU